rnacentral:rRNA from 1 species
UAGGGAAUCUUCCGCAAUGGACGCAAGUCUGACGGAGCAACGCCGCGUGAGUGAAGAAGGAUUUCGGUUCGUAAAACUCUGUUGUUAGAGAAGAACAGCGCGUAGAGUAACUGUUAUGCGUGUGACGGUAUCUAACCAGAAAGCCACGGCUAACUACGUGCCAGCAGCCGCGGUAAUACGUAGGUGGCAAGCGUUGUCCGGAAUUAUUGGGCGUAAAGCGCGCGCAGGUGGUUUAAUAAGUCUGAUGUGAAAGCCCACGGCUCAACCGUGGAGGGUCAUUGGAAACUGUUAAACUUGAGUGCAGGAGAGAAAAGUGGAAUUCCUAGUGUAGCGGUGAAAUGCGUAGAGAUUAGGAGGAACACCAGUGGCGAAGGCGGCUUUUUGGCCUGUAACUGACACUGAGGCGCGAAAGCGUGGGGAGCAAACAGGAUUAGAUACCCUGGUAGUCCACGCCGUAAACGAUGAGUGCUAAGUGUUGGUCUCAUAAGAGAUCAGUGCUGCAGCUAACGCAUUAAGCACUCCGCCUGGGGAGUACGACCGCAAGGUUG